rnacentral:rRNA from 1 species
AGAGUUUGAUCCUGGCUCAGAACGAACGCUGGCGGCGUGGAUAAGACAUGCAAGUCGGACGAGAUUUUUCGUUGUAGCAAUACGAUGGAAAGUCUAGUGGCGAACGGGUGCUUAACACGUGGGCAAUCUGUCUUAAAGUGGGGGAUAGCUCGGCGAAAGCCGAAUUAAUACCGCAUGUGAUUAGAAUGGACAUCCAUUCAAAAUUAAAGUCGGGGCAACCUGACGCUUUUUGAGGAGCCCGCGGCCUAUCAGCUUGUUGGUGAGGUAACGGCUCACCAAGGCAUUGACGGGUAGCUGGUCUGAGAGGACGACCAGCCACACUGGGACUGAGACACGGCCCAGACACCUACGGGUGGCAGCAGUCGAGAAUUUUUCUCAAUGGGGGAAACCCUGAAGGAGCGACGCCGCGUGGAGGAUGAAGGUCUUCGGAUUGUAAACUCCUGUCAUUGGGGAACAAGUCGCUUACGUUAACUGCGUGAGCGUUGAUAGUACCCGAAGAGGAAGAGACGGCUAACUCUGUGCCAGCAGCCGCGGUAAUACAGAGGUCUCAAGCGUUGUUCGGAUUCAUGGGGCGUAAGGGGUGCGUAGGCGGCGCGGUAAGUCGGGUGUGAAAUCUCGGAGCUUAACUCCGAAACUGCAUUCGAUACUGCCGUGCUUGAGGACUGGAGAGGAGACUGGAAUUUACGGUGUAGCGGUGAAAUGCGUAGAUAUCGUAAGGAAGACCAGUGGCGAAGGCGGGUCUCUGGACAGUUCCUGACGCUGAGGCACGAAGGUCAGGGGAGCAAACGGGAUUAGAUACCCCGGUAGUCCUGACAGUAAACGGUGCACGUUUGGUGUGGGAGGAUUCGACCCCUUCUGCGCCGGAGCUAACGCGUUAAACGUGCCGCCUGGGGAGUACGGUCGCAAGAUUAAAACUCAAAGAAAUUGACGGGGGCCCGCACAAGCGGUGGAGUAUGUGGCUCAAUUCGAUGCAACGCGAAGAACCUUACCAGGCCUUGACAUGCAUCUCUAAGUUGGUGAAAGCCAGCGAGUCCCGAAAGGGACAAUUUGCACAGGUGCUGCAUGGCUGUCGUCAGCUCGUGUCGUGAGAUGUUGGGUUAAGUCCCGCAACGAGCGCAACCCCUGUGAACUGUUGCACCGGAG